GACGAACGCUGGCGGCGUGCCUAAUACAUGCAAGUAGAACGCUGAAGAGAGGAGCUUGCUCUUCUUGGAUGAGUUGCGAACGGGUGAGUAACGCGUAGGUAACCUGCCUGGUAGCGGGGGAUAACUAUUGGAAACGAUAGCUAAUACCGCAUAAAAUGGAUUAUCGCAUGAUAAUCCAUUGAAAGGUGCAAAUGCAUCACUACCAGAUGGACCUGCGUUGUAUUAGCUAGUUGGUGGGGUAACGGCUCACCAAGGCGACGAUACAUAGCCGACCUGAGAGGGUGAUCGGCCACACUGGGACUGAGACACGGCCCAGACUCCUACGGGAGGCAGCAGUAGGGAAUCUUCGGCAAUGGACGGAAGUCUGACCGAGCAACGCCGCGGGAGUGAAGAAGGUUUUCGGAUCGUAAAGCUCUGUUGUAAGAGAAGAACGAGUGUGAGAGUGGAAAGUUCACACUGUGACGGUAGCUGACCAGAAAGGGACGGCUAACUACGUG
rnacentral:rRNA from 1 species